GGAUGGAGAACAGCAGCAACUGCCCAGGGAGGCUCUGCGGCCUACAAUGAAUAGGUGGAGGCUCUUGAUACGGCAUGAGCAUCAGGGCCUCAGGGCAGCAACGGCCUCCUGAGGGACAGUGGCUCCCUAGGAUCUGGCAGACCUCAGCCCCAAAGUCCCCACACCAGAAGAGAAGAUGCUCAGGACCAGAGCAGAGGCAGGGAGAGAGCAGAGCACCAGAAAGCCAGUGCAGAAUUAUCUCCUCUGCCUCUGAACAGCACCAAACAGCUUUCAACAAAGGCUCAAGUGAAAAGGUCUUUCCUGCUGGAUGCCCUUGAGAAGUCAACCGCAACAGAAACUAGUCCCCUGGAGAGUUGAAAAGAAAACUGCUAAAUCAAGAAAUAAAGACUAUUUAAAUAUAUAAAAGUGAUAAUGAAAAGAAAGGGAAAAAAAGGCUUCCAAAUUACAAGAAGGCACAUAUACACACCCAAAGCAAGGAAAACACAACUACAAAUGAAGAUAAACAAGAUUUUUAGAAGCCAAUGGAAUAUUCAUGAACCAAACUCUCAAAUAUAAAAAACAGAAAUUGUACUUUCUCUGAAAUCAUACAUUCUCUCAACACAUGGCAAAGUUAAAAAUUAAUAACAGGGCUUCCCUGGUGGCACAGUCGUUAAGAACGCACCU